rnacentral:lncRNA from 1 species
CUCCCCUUUACCCCCCCCUUCUACCCCCCUUAUCCCUCUUAUGCCUCUCUGCCCUCACCCCCCCCAGCACCCCGGGCAGCCUCAGCAGGGGCCCCAGGUGACGGGAGCUGGGGCGACUGGCACAGGGGGCAGCUCCAAAUCCAAACCUAUCAACCGGAUCAGCACGGUGGUGUGAGCAGCAGAACGUGGGGCCACAGAAGGCAGAGGUCAGAGGGCAGGAUGGAGGAAGGGGGCGGAGCUAGGGACAGGGAUAGAGCCAGGGCUAGUAGAGGUGAGCAGGACAGCAGCAGCAGUAACAACAGCAACAGUGACAAGAAGAAACGCAACUUAUUUCGCCUCUGCUACUUUCACCUCCGCUUCCCACACAUGUAGACCGAGAGAGCAAAGGAAAGAGAGUUGGAGCUGAAUUACCUGAACACAUACAAGACACACAGGCAGAAUAAACACACAUAAAGCAAUGCCCACAUAAAUGUAGGCACACAAAUAUGUUUGGAUAUAGGCAAAUAAGUUUCUCAGGUGAACUCUGUCAGCACACAAACUCAUAAGGGAGAGUCACAGGUAGGAGCAACACACACACACAAAAUCAACAAUUUCUCUAGCCAUAGAACUGAUGCUGGUUAUAAAUGUACAGUAGAGGGCCUGUACCCAGUGUUUCACUGUCUGAAGUAUUAUUGGAAACGCUGGACUUUGCCAAGACAUGAGCUUGAGAGUGUUUUAAACAUAAGUACCAACAUGUAAUUGUGCAACGUUAUGAAUGGGGCAAAUCUGACGAUGAAAACACGCAAGAUUUGGUUCUGGUGUUGUUGAAAUAAGGACAAUGCUGACCAACAGAAAGACCAUCUCCACCCACCUGGAUAUGAAAAAGACUUCACCACUAAAUACAUUCCAGCAGGGUUGUGCAUUGUAAACAGCCAUUGAGGAUAGUUGCAAAAAUAAUCCCCUCGAUUUUGCAAUAAUUUAUUCAGCUUCAUAAUAGGUUUGUCAAUUACCACGGCAGGUCUUCAUCACUGAAAGGUAUCCUUUUUUUAAAGUAGACCUCAGAGACAUUUGCUUUGUCUUCAACUUUUAUGACUCACAGUUCAAUGGCAGUCUUAGGCUCUAUGGUCUUUUACAUGUAAAGAGAAGUCAGCUGGUUUCAUAGGAUUUACAUGCAUUCCCUAUAGGGUGUGUGGAUUAAUGAUGCUACCAAUAAUAUUUUUGAAUGUUUUUAAGCCUUUUUGCUGUUGUAUAAAUGUUACAUAUAUAAUUGCUGAGUAUGAUGAAUAUUGUCUAAUAACAUAACUGUUUUGAUCCAGUGAUUAAUUAGAUAUUACAGAUGUUUGAUUGAUUAAAAAAUGAUUAUACAGAGGAUAUAUACACUUAUUCAUUCCCUCAUACUUGUAUGUAAUGAGGGUGUUAUAAAGUGUGAUUUAUUUUUGUUCUCUAUGAUGGUUGCCAUUGAUAACUUCUAUUAUCAGUUAUUAUUAUUGAAUGUUAAAAAUAUUAGUUCAUAUUUAGGACAAUUUUUGUUCUUAGAGAGUUGUGUACCCUAUAUCUCCCUCCAUUUUGUCUGUUUAUUUUUAGGAGACUGGUGAUUGUGUGAACUAGUAGUUGCACAAUGUCAAAAAGAAAAUGGUUAAUUGGAGUCAAAAUGCAUAUGAAUUAAUAUGCUUUCCCACCUCAGACCCCUCUGAAAGAUCCCCUUAAGGGCUUUGACCAUUUACCUGCUCAUGGACAAUGAUCCUCAUUUCAUUGGUGACCCUGUCGUUUAUGUCCUCCCUGUUAUCCUCCCUGUUAUCUUCCCUGUUAUCCUCCCUGUUAUCAUGGGACUCACUCAGAAGCAUCUGGUCUUGUUGAGAGAGUUUCUCACAUGGCGUGUGUUUGGAUGGUCUAUGUCUUUGAACAAGCACGCUUUGUAAUAUAGUUUUGUGGUUUUGCACACGUGGUGUCUUAAAGUCAAAAAUAGCAUUAUUUUAAACACCCUCCUCACAUACCCCCUUGCCAGUCCUCAGAAGACUAAUAGCCUACGCCCCAGCACCCUUACUGAAUGGGCUUGUCAUUAGAUCAAACAGGUUUGUUAAUCUUCUCAUCUCUGUUGACCACCUUUCUUACUUCCUCUCUCUGUUUUUCUAUUGCACUGUGUUUGAACAAUGGUAGAUUGAACAAGGGAUUAGUGUUUCAGGAUAAAGGGAAUCAUUUAGUUUUAGGAUGGUGAAUUGUAGUUAGACAUGCUAGACAAUACUUGAGGACAAAGAAGAGACAGAUUAAUGUUAAAAGCCAGAACAAGAAUAUGGGUAGUCAGGGAAAAAUGUAAGGUUUUAGGGGUGGUUGAGGUUGAAGUUUUUUUGUUGGCUUUUUCCUGCAUAAUUCCCUCUGUAUUGUCCCUUUGGGACCCCUCUUGCAUGAAUAUAUCUGCACUUAUUGAAUGGAUUGUACUGUAUAAAUCUGAAUGUACAUAUUGAGGUGUGUGUGUGUGUGUGUGUGUGUGUGUGUGUGUGUGUGUGUGUGUGUGUGUGUGUGUGUGUGUGUGUGUGUGUGUGUGUGUGUGUGUGCGCGUGUGCAUGUUUGUGGGAGUGUGCAUGUGUGCGUGUGUGAGAGAGAAAGACGAGUAGGGGACUUUGGUUUGAAUAUUGAAUUAUUUUUAUUUUAGACUGAGGGUGAGAGAAUAAUUUGCAGUAAUUAGGUGUUUGUAUGUCAGAGAACUAAUUGAUAUUAUUUUAAACAUACAGGAAGUAUGAUCUUAAGACUUUAAUUUGUGUAUGUAAUAAGUAUUAACUGGAAGAGUAGAGAAUUGAGAUGUGAAUAUUUAUUGCUUCUGAUAUAUUAAAAAGUGUCCUUGCAGUGAAACAAUCUUCCGUCUUUUAUUGAUGUCUUCAUGACAGAAUAAAUGUCUGCAAAUGUUAUGGACAGCAAAACAUUUUCUUUAUUU